rnacentral:rRNA from 1 species
GACGAGGGGUCCUAGCGUUGUUCGGAAUCACUGGGCGUAAAGCGUUUGUAGGCGGCCCUGUAAGUCGGGUGUGAAAUCCCACGGCUCAACCGUGGAAGUGCAUUCGAAACUGCAGAGCUUGAAUAUGGAAGAGGGCAGUAGAAUUCCUGGUGUAGUGGUGAAAUACGUAGAUAUCAGGAGGAAUACCGGUGGCGAAGGCGGCUGCCUGGUCCAAUAUUGACGCUGAGAAACGAAAGUGCGGGGAUCAAAC